GAGGUGGAGAAUGCACUGAUGGAACAUCCUGCCGUGGUUGAAACAGCUGUGAUCAGCAGCCCAGACCCUAUCAGAAGAGAGGUGGUGAAGGCAUUUGUGGUUCUAGCCCCUGAGUUCCUGUCCCAUGACCAAGACCAGCUCACCAAGGUUCUUCAGGAACACGUGAAGUCAGUGACAGCACCCUACAAGUACCCCAGGAAGUGACCAAAAUCUCUCCAAAGACAAUUCUACAACUAUCUUGGUGCAUGAAAAAUGGCCCCAGCCUUUAACUUAUUCUGAAUUAAAAGCCAAAUUAUUUAAUGGAA
rnacentral:lncRNA from 1 species